CUCCUCAGUAAUGCCAUGGUCCUCAGCAGCAGUAGUAUUCAGUAUUUAAACCUAAAAAAAAGGGUAUGGAAAGAAGUGGCGCACAACUUAACGAGUAUCUUAACAGCACUAAUAGCACUAGAGAUUUGGCUAAGAGCACUAGAGAUUGCUCCCUGCCGUUGUUGGUACAGUGGGUGAUGACUGUCCUUGGGGAGUUCAAGGUGUACGAGAACCAGAAG